rnacentral:rRNA from 1 species
UACGAAGGGGGCUAGCGUUGUUCGGAGUUACUGGGCGUAAAGGGCGCGUAGGCGGCGCACCAAGUCAGGCGUGAAAGCCCUGGGCUCAACCCGGGAAUUGCGCUUGAGACUGGUGUGCUUGAGUACGGGAGAGGAAGGUGGAAUUCCCGGUGUAGCAGUGAAAUGCGUAGAUAUCGGGAGGAACACCAGUGGCGAAAGCGGCGCACUGGACCACAACUGACGCUGAGGCGCGAAAGCUAGGGGAGCAAACAGG